CGAGACUACGCAACAGCUCACAGCUGCCUGUGCAAUGAAAGCAAAGGCCAACUUCUCAGAGGGAAGAAGCAGGCUCCACACAGGAAGAUUAUGGCAGGGAUGCAGCUUCAUCGCUCGGCUCUUUGAAGAUGAUGACACUCGAAGAAUUGUUUGUCCCUCAGCUGGAUUGCAGAGAAAAGGACAGAACAGGGGUCCCCGGAAAACAUUUCCAUCUACGUUUCUGCUCUACGUAGUGCUUGUGUGCCUUAUGUCCAGUAAUGUGGAUGCAUGUGAGAUAUCGUUCUCGUCAGCUACUGUGGUUUCCGGCUUGCUUGCCGGAUGUUCUGCUGCUCCUCAGAAAUAUUGUCAGCUCUGUUCCAAGAGGAAGUGAGUAAGUUUUUUUUGUAGUAUGCAGAGUUAUGGAAGAGUCUAGACUUUAUGUGAAGAGUGUGAAGAGCCAAGUGAGCAUUCUUCCUGCCUGGAAGUGCAGUAUGAUGAGAAAGGAAGUCACAUCUUUGGAAACUAAGUGCAGCUCCUCAGUGCUGAGAGAGGAAAAAAAACUGCUGGCCUUCUCGGGACCGGCAGGAAGCAGUUUGCAGUCUCGCCCGGCAGCUCUUUUCU